GCCAGGUGAGAGUUCCAAGGUGCAGGAUUGUGCGUAGUGAAAGUGAAUUCUCACAGGAUACAAUUGCUGUCAGGACAGGACCCACAGGUCAAUAUUGAGUUGGUGGAACGCCUUUGAGUUUUAUUCCCACCUAAUGCUAAGAUCCAGCACCUUUAAUUGUCAUCAAAAAACACUUAUAAGGAGCAACAAAAGGAGCUGCUGGAGGAUGUCUCUUCUUCAGCACUGGAAGAACUGAUGCAUGUUCUCAUGUCAUGAACAGCCAGUUCUCAUCAGCAUGGACACUUCUUAUGCAGAUUCUCGUUUGCUAAGAGCCAGAGUAAACCAGACUUGCCUCUCAGGAUCUGCAUACCACAACAGUCCAGAGAUCACCGUUGUGGAGAUUUCUUUUGAUGAGAAGACUCAAGGUCACAGUUAAGGUUUUGUGCCUGGAACUGCACUUCCCACCAUUGCAAGUCCUGCCUAGCUUGCACAGAACAGCUUCAGAAAUGGCCGAGGCUACAAGGUGCUCACACACUGUGGUGACCAGCUGGACAGGGUUGAAAAGGACAGUGACAACUUAUGCAAAGCCACAGGCAGUGGGCAGGCAGUGCUGGGGGCAACCUACUCUCCCUUCUGGAGCUCCAACAGGAUCACUGGCACCAGGUUUUUAAGGUAUGUUAUGGCAAAGAUAAACAACAGUUUUAAGAUUGCUGGAGUGCUUGGAUUC
rnacentral:lncRNA from 1 species